AAGUAUCCCUGUUGCCGAUCAUUAGUGUUUUUCAUUGCCAAAACAGAGUCAGUGAUUCAUCAGCUCCCAGGAGGUACAUGUAAGAUGAUACAGAACCAGUUUGUGCAGCAGAAUAUCUACAUGGUGCAGUCAUUUUGCGAUGUAAGGUCACCAUUCCCCCCAUAGUCAGAAAAAGUGGUCUUAAAACACAUAAAACGCAGACAGCGGUAUUUUUUUUUUUUUUUUUGUACAAAUGUUAAGUGAAAGCUUACAUUUAUAGAAACUGCUUGGAUGAUGCACAAAAUUCAGUUGAAAAUGUCAGAUGCACAUUUGUCUUGCAUAAUAGGCCAGCCUGGGUUAAAAUGACUUCAGGUGCACUUCUGUAUAUUUGUCUAAUGCUUUAAAAAAAAAACAUUUUACCAGAUCAUAUAAUACCAUUCAUGCAACAAUGAAAACAUGUUGGGUCAUUUUCAUGAGCAACAGACGAAGGUUGUUAAAGGCUCCUGGCAAACAGGUGGUGCUUUUCUGGCCAAGGAAAAGUCAAACAGAGACACUAAACUGCACAGUUUGUAGGCUUCAGUGUUUACCUGUCCCCUUCUGCUCCCAUUUGAACAGGUGUCACUGUGUGUGUGCGUGUUAGAUAAACUACAACCGCUUAUUGUUGGGGCCAUUACUUCAGAGUGAGACUCACUGUAACUCUAUAGGUGUGGGUGAAGGGUCCGCCUCCCGUCUUCCGUCUCCUCUUCUUUCUCUUUCCACUCCCUCCUCCUUUGUCCCCGACUUCCGUUUAUCGACACAUGCCCCAGAGGGGACAAAGGGGGGAUUUCCAAGAAGAUAAGCCUCUUGUUUUCUGGUGACGGAAAAGACGCAGCGGAAUAUGUGAAGAGGAGUAAGAGGAGGACGAGAAGAAGAGAGGGCUUCACUUCAUUUGGCAGCUAAAGAUAAUAUUUAUUUCCCUCCUUGUGCCGGCUAUGAGGCAAAAACUGUACCAUGUGGGGUAAAAAUAUAGUGCACACAGCAAUUUGUGGUCACAUAUUAGCUUCUGAAACCCAAAGCCAGGACCCAGACUAAUAAAUCCUCUCUGGAACUACCUGCUAUGUAAAAAGAGGUGACAUAUUUGAUCUGUGCUGGGGAACCUUUACACCUGCUUUAAAUAUUAUUUGACAGAUAAAGAAGCUUAGGUCAACACCAACAGCAUUAUCAGCAGUGUCAUUCAUUUCUUAUGUAACAGAGUCUAAUAAACCCUGUUGACGCGGUAGUCCGCGCUCAACUAGAAGGACAGGGAUAUUGGAUAUGAUAAUCCAAUAAAAAGUCAGUAUCAGCUUGUCAAGUCAUUACGUUUUUCUGACACCACAGGCAUAAGAACAUUGCUUCCACGGCCCAUAAGCUCAAGGACAAACAUAUAAACGCAAAAACACACACACGUGGUUCGGCAGUAAACUGCAACCAUACAUUUGCCUGGUGGCAAGUCCGGCUGUUAAGGGCUCAUUCCUCAAUAUCAACAGGAAGCCCCUCCUCUAGGAAGCUAUUAACAUGUUAUGGGAUCAAGUUCACAAUGCGCUAAAGACACACACACACACACACACACACACACUGCACUUGUGUUCACUGUAAAGCAAGGUCUGUGUGCACUUAAUGAGAUCGAAGUGGAAGUGACGGUGGAAAGCGGUCAUUAAGCAUUGCCGUGUGAUUCUCUCCUGCUUCCGUACACAAAAGGUUUUUUUGGCCACUGUUUGUGUGUUUCCAUUCAUAACAACACUUUGAGGCCUUCGGGGGAAACUUCAGCAAAGUGAAGUCAUUUUGUCUGGUUCUGCCUUUUCCAAGAAGUUGUUUCUAGCUAGGGAGCAGCUACAGAAUACGAUUCUGUACUGCACAUCCGCAUUUUGUGGCGCGACACAGGUCAAAAGGGUCUCCAGUCAGGAUGCGCUUACUCAUUGGUUCAGGAGUUGUCGAUGGUAUGACGCAGCGGUGAUGCUCAGCUGACGAGGAACGUUUCAUCUUUUAGGAGUUUACCACUCCUCCUGUUACAGUGCCAAAUGAGCCGAGCGCCCUCAGAGUCUUUGUAAGUGACAGACUUCAUAUAUCACAGGGGUUUGUUCCUGAAUGCGGGUAAAAUUAAGCGAGGAGACAGAGGCAAAUAUUGCCACGUACUAAGGAGGGAGCAUUUUGAGUUGAUCGCUUUUGAGAAAGACUGGAAUAAGGGGGGGGACUCACCUUAAGACACAGGUUUAGUACUUCAGGCAUUGGAGGGGAGAAGAGUCACUGAUCUUCAUGUGAAAAGAAGUGUGUUGGGAUUCAGGCAUCUGAUCAGGAUGCUUCCAGGGCGCUUCAAGUGGAGCAAACACUCCUCCAAUAAGGAACUGAAAAACACCGCUACAGACAAGGAUGUCUGGGCUAUUAGCCUGCUGUUAUCGCCACCCAACUUUAGAUAAGAGUCCUUCGACACUCCUACAGCCUCCUCUCCACAAUUCGGUUCAACUGGCCUCGGGCCCUUUUUUUUUUUUUUUUUCUCCCUGCGGGCUGAACCACUUCAUGUAAGUGGGGAAGAGAAAAAGGAGCAGGAGGAGGAAAACCAGUAAAGCCAGAGAGGAAGCGAAGGAUGUGGUGGGGAGGGCAAACAGCAGCCAGCGGAGAGCUGCCUCUUUGUGUGGCUUUUUUUACGACUUCCUCCCGCCCCGGCCGCAUCGUUCACCACACCCCCGCCACUGGAAAAACAUAAACAGCUAUAAUCUGUACGCUGGGACACAGCAAGACAGGACAUUUCGCAAUGACAAGCGACACCAGUCGCAUGAAGACCUUUGCGGGAUACACCAAAGUUAUGAACGGUAGCUGGAUGGAAGCCCGCUACCACCUGCAAAAUUACAAUGACAAGUUAGGGAGGAGGAAACUCUUUUGCAUUUUAUAGAUUUUAUAAAGCUAUGUUUCCCUUCUUGGGUAAAACAUUGACUUUGUGUACGGCUUUUAAAUCAUAAUGUCCAUAUAUCUAUAUAAAAAUAAUAAAAUUAGCAUUUCCAGUUAAGACUUUCUAUGUCGCAUAUGAGAACAAAACAACCUUCAACAUUUUAAAAUACACAAGGAAUUGUGCAACUACUAAAAAACUCAAAAUGGCAAAAAUCCAUGUAAUUAGUGCAACAUAGCAUACUGUUUAUUCAUAUAAAUUAUAUUUACAUGAGGAGGCAAUAUGUGCGCAGCUUGGGUUUAAAAAUGGCAUUUCGCAAACAUGCGCCGUGGAUACGAUAAAAAACAUUAUUGCUUAAGCACCGAACUUCUAAAAACACCUGCUAAUUUGCAAGUAUGCACGUAUACGCACACGCACAAAGAGGUCAGGCGGCCGACAAGAACAGUCUGUUUUCGUAGCUGCAGCUGUUCAGAUUGGACGUACCAUCCAAAGCAGCACACACUCAUGCACACAGAGAAAUGGAAUGUCUGCUUGGCUGUACAGCUGGAUGUCCUUAAGAGGUGAAGAAAGACACGGAGAUAAUAUGCUGGUAUUCCACACACACACACACACACACACACACACACACACACACACACACACACACACA